UGGGGAAUUUUGGACAAUGGGCGAAAGCCUGAUCCAGCAAUGCCGCGUGAGUGAUGAAGGCCUUCGGGUUGUAAAGCUCUGUCUUUUGGGACGAUAAUGACGGUACCAAAGGAGGAAGCCACGGCUAACUACGUGCCAGCAGCCGCGGUAAUACGUAGGUGGCAAGCGUUGUCCGGAUUUGACUGGGCGUAAAGGAUGCGUAGGCGGAUUUUUAAGUGAGAUGUGAAAUACCCGGGCUUAACUUGGGUGCUGCAUUUCAAACUGGGAAUCUAGAGUGCGGGAGAGGAGAAUGGAAUUCCUAGUGUAGCGGUGAAAUGCGUAGAGAUUAGGAAGAACACCAGUGGCGAAGGCGAUUCUCUGGACCGUAACUGACGCUGAGGCAUGAAAGCGUGGGUAGCAAACAGGAUUAGAUACCCUGGUAGUCCACGCCGUAAACGAUGAGUACUAGGUGUAGGAGGUAUCGACCCCUUCUGUGCCGCAGUUAACACAAUAAGUACUCCGCCUGGGAAGUACGAUCGCAAGAUUAAAACUCAAAGGAAUUGACGGGGUCAUAGCUGUUUUCCU
rnacentral:rRNA from 1 species